CAGAGAGAGGGGGACAGAGAGAGGGGGACAGAGAGAGGGGGGCAGAGAGAGGGAGACAGAGAGAGGGGGACAGAGAGAGGGGGGCAGAGAGAGGGAGACAGAGAGAGGGAGACAGAGACCAGUGGAGGGUCCAGCCUGAUGAUAACCUCCGAGUGCAGACUUUUACAGAUCUUCAGCAGUGAAUGAUGGGAUUGGACGGUGGUUCUGUUGUUCUGAUCAGGAACCACAACAGCACCGCUGGUGAACCAGGAGAGAGGUGGAGGUCCAUGGUCCAUGGUCCAUGGUCUGUCCAGCACCUGUAGCAGAAGAAGACCAGAGAAGAAAUCUCCGAUGUAGAAGUUCGAAGUUCAACCUUUGACCUCAGCUCCGACACUGCUGUCAUUCCCUACAGAAGAAAAGGCCGUCGGGAUGAACUGAGUCAAACUGAAGGUUGAUCAGCAGCCUCAGCAGCAGCAGC